GACGAACGCUGGCGGCGUGCUUAACACAUGCAAGUCGAACGGAAAGGCCCUGCUUUUGUGGGGUGCUCGAGUGGAGAACGGGUGUGUAACACGUGAGUAACCUGCUCUUGACUUUGGUAUAACUUCAGGAAACUGGGGCUAAUACCGGAUAGGAGCUCCUGGUGCAUGGUGGGGGGUGGAAAGUUUCGGCGGUUGGGGAUGGACUCGCGGCAUAUCAGCUUGUUGGUGGGGUAGUGGCUUACCAAGGCCUUGACGGGUAGCCGGCCUGAGAGGGUGACCGGCCACAUUGGGACUGAGAUACGGCCCAGACUCCUACGGGAGGCAGCAGUGGGGAAUAUUGCACAAUGGGCGGAAGCCUGAUGCAGCAACGCCGCGUGCGGGAUGACGGCCUUCGGGUUGUAAACCGCUUUCGCCUGGGACGAAGCGUGAGUGACGGUAAUGGGUAAAGAAGCACCGGCUAACUACGUG
rnacentral:rRNA from 1 species